CAGCAGUGUACACAAACACCGUUCUGAGCAUGCCUGGGGAGUACAAUGAAGGAGGCACAGAUCAGACUGAAAAGCGUGAAUGCUGACUGUGAGCUAUACAGAAUCUUAACCCGGUAAUGAAUUCCAAUGAAAGAGAAAGAGUUAAGGGCAAACAAUAUAUGCGAUGAGGACAGGACCCAAAAUUGUGCACUUUGCAUCGAGGAGAUACACACGCUUGAUGAGCAGAGGACGGAGAGAAAGUUGGAGAUUCGGAAAGGGAUCCAAGAAUACGUAUACACACAUGGCCCUGAGUGCCUUCCACAUAAUCCAUGACAUCAGGAACCAGGAGUAUGGAGGAAAUAGCGUCUUCAAGCAAAGUUUCAGAAUCUUGAAACUGUUUUAUACCUUCUUUCAGCCAUACUCUGAAAGAAUACUGAUAUCCCAUGCUGAUUAUCAGGCCUUUUUUAUAUUACACCAUGCUAUCCCUUACAUGCUUAUGAAUAUAUGCCAUGCAUUUGGAGUAUUUAUUGUCUAUGGACCCUGCCAUUUACUCUUAUAGGACCUUUCACACAGGCUUUCUAGGAGAUGUUUUACUUAAUUAUAUUUAACAAGAAAUGGCCUAGGCCUCUGUAAAGAUGUGAAAGGUUUGGAAGUCAGCAACCUGUGUGUCCUUUUUAUAUAAGUAUGCCUAAACUACAGUAAAAAAUCAAUAAUUUCCGAAUACAUUUUCAUUGGGCCUUAUUUUGUUUUUUGUGAUGUUUUUUGAUUUUUUUUGUAUAAUUCAACAACUUUCAAAAUCAGUGAUUAUACUAGGUUCUUUAAGAACUCAUGCUGAUGUUCAAACUCCUGAAAAUGAAUCUUACAGGCUAUGAUCCUACUAGAUAAAAAUCUCAGAUGCAUAUGCUGCUUUGCCACCAGAUCUGCAGCUUUCUUGUGCUGGCAGAAUGCAAGUUCUUUCAGUUCCAAUAGUGUUUGCAUUAAGACUGCAUUGUCAGACAGUAA